GAUGAACGCUGGCGGCGCGCCUAAUACAUGCAAGUCGAGCGAACGGACGAGAAGCUUGCUUCUCUGAUGUUAGCGGCGGACGGGUGAGUAACACGUGGAUAACCUACCUAUAAGACUGGGAUAACUUCGGGAAACCGUAGCUAAUACCGGAUAAUAUUUUGAACCGCAUGGUUCAAAAGUGAAAGACGGUCUUGCUGUCACUUAUAGAUGGAUCCGCGCUGCAUUAGCUAGUUGGUAAGGUAACGGCUUACCAAGGCAACGAUGCAUAGCCGACCUGAGAGGGUGAUCGGCCACACUGGAACUGAGACACGGUCCAGACUCCUACGGGAGGCAGCAGUAGGGAAUCUUCCGCAAAGGGCGAAAGCCUGACGGAGCAACGCCGCGUGAGUGAUGAAGGUCUUCGGAUCGUAAAACUCUGUUAUUAGGGAAGAACAUAUGUGUAAGUAACUGUGCACAUCUUGACGGUACCUAAUCAGAAAGCCACGGCUAACUACGUG
rnacentral:rRNA from 1 species